rnacentral:lncRNA from 1 species
GGAAAACUCAAAGUCAGACGGCCGCCCAUAGAGAUGAUCUACAUAGCCCAGCUUGUAGAAAUCGGAUUGGUUCUGAAUAAGCGAAGCCUCGAAACCAUCUUUCUCACUCUUCAACUGCUCAUUCUCCUCAAGCAGGCAAGCACGAACCCGCUGCAACUCCUCAAUUUCCUUCUUCAAAUUGUCGUUGGUCUUCAAAACACCUUGAAGUUCCGACACUUGAGGCUCAAGCCUGUCAACAACCUCUUUGAAGUGGAUCGCUUGGUUGUAAGUAGCAAUCAAUUCUUCAUCCUUUGCAUAAGCAGCGGAGCG